CCUACAGACGAAGAACCGUAUAUGUGACAUUUUUCAAAAAAACGAGAUAUACAUGAAAAAUCAUUAUUGGACACCCUUUUUCUAUAGUGAACCGGUUUCACAAGCUUUCCACGCGCUAAUUAACAAUAUGUUUAAAUUUAAAGAUAGGCUCUCGUGGAAUAACCGUUUAUGUGCACCACUCAGAAUGGACGGACAAGCGCACAACUUUUCUGUUGCUGAUGAAAAUCACCGAAAGGUGGGAAAGAAACGUAAAACAAAACUAAAAGAAUGGAAAGACAGGCAAAGGAAGAUCUUACGGGAUGCGGGAAAACCCUAUACAAAUCGUAAGGGUCAAGAAAAAACUGGGAAAAGCUGUCCAAAAGAGGGAAGAGCGUGUUCCACGACGUGCAGAAAGGAUUGUGGAAAGUUGAUUGAUGAGCGCAAGCUGCAUCUGUUCAACAGUUUCUACACUGUCCCAUACGAGAAACAACAAGCACAACCAGCAAAACCAUUCAAGGUGAUGAGGAUGCAAUGUGAAGACUUCAGUCACCUCCCAGAUUCUGUUCUCAAGCGACCAGCUGGACUACAGACCACUUCAGUGAGGUGGUUAAAAGUCACAUGUAUUGCACAGAGAAUAGUUUACUAACAUCCCAUCAACAUGCAACAUGUUGUUCUAACAAUAAAAUAUCCUAAUGAUU